UGAGCCUGUUUGAGCAGGCGUUGAAUAAGUGUGUAUUUUUUUUUUUUAACUGCUUCCCUCCGGGGCAUGCGAAAUUGAACGCAUUUCAGAAGUAUUUGUGCAGUAGUCAUCGGGUAGCAAACAUAUUUUAGAUACAGGCCGGGUAUAAAUUCCGGUUGCUGUCCGUAUAGUAACGACUCGAGUUACUCCAUCAGGACCUGGAUGUACGUUAAUAACUCGAGCAAGGUGCCACUGAACGGGAGGGGAGUACUCAUCGCACAUAAUUACUACUGAACCAGGGCGUAUGAUAGUAGAUGUACGAUUCUGCUCUGAUGCUUGCAACUCCGAUAAUGAUCGAGCCUGUUCAGGUUAACGUUGCUUAAAUCCUCUUCUGGUAAGGCCUUCAUACUCGUUCCAAUCAAGAAGUGAGCCGGAGUAAGUACAUCUAUAUCAUUAGGAUCAUCCGUGAGCGGGGUCAAAGGACGAGAGUUCAAGGCAGCCGCUAUCUGAACUAAAAGAGUUUGCAUGUCUUCUAAAUGCAAUCGAUGGUGUCCCAAUUCUUUUUUAAUUGCAGAUUUUGCACAGCGAACCGCGGAUUCCCAUAACCCACCAAAAUUCGGCGCUCUAGGUGGUAUGAAGACCCAUUUAACUCCUUGAGUAGCGCAUUCGGUGGCUAUGCGUUUUCGACUACCAGGAUUGUUGAGCGUAUGAUACAGUUCAUAUAAUUCGUGUUUUGCUCCAGCAAAAUUCUUCCCAUUAUCAGAGUGAAUUUCUGCGGGCAAUCCAUGAUGUCCUAUGAAUCGACGAAGUGCUAACAGGAAACAGGCAGUUGUUAGGAGCAGCUUUUCGGUAGAGCGGUUUAAGAUAUAUGGGACCACAGUAAUCCACACCAGUAAUCGUAAAAGGACGACUAGGCCGAACUCGAGCAGCGGGUAAUUGCCCUAAAGGUUGCCGAACAGGAACCGGGUUUGUUCGGAAGCAUCGAUAGCAGUUUCUCAGAACUGACUUGACAGCUCUUUUCCCAUGCAAUGGCCAAAAUUCUUGUCUCACUAGCGCCAACGUUAACCGAUGACCACCAUGGGUACUGAGCUGAUGAUAAUGAAGAAUAAUCAAUUUGGUGAAAGGAUGGGAUGUAGGGAGAAUAGCUGGGUGUUUUGCAUCGUAUAACUCUCCAGAAUGGUGCAGCCGUCCUCCAACCCUUAUGAUGCCAUCAUUAUCCAAAAAUGGUUUUAAUAGUCGAAUUGUAGAUUUGCGAGAGACAAACCGAUUCGAUUCCAAAAGCUUAAGGUCAUCGUGGAACUGCUCUCGCUGAACCAACCUGAUAAGGGUCAAUUUAGAACGUUUUAGUUCCUUUAUCGAGAUGAAAUUUUCGGUUAUCCGGGUUUUGGGAUAGCGACAAUUUCCGACGAAACGAAUGCAGUAGGCAACAGUUCGCAGCAGUGUGAACAGAUUUGAAAAGCGGCUAAAUAAAGCAUUAGUAUCGGUAACAGCAGCCAAGGAGAUCUUAGGCUCUCUAAUUUCCAAUUCUUCCGAUGGAAUUUUGUUUACUUGAUAGUUCAUUGGCCAACUUUCUUUUUCAUUGCGAAUCCAUUCAGGCCCUUGUUGCCACAAAUUGCUAUGUAAAAACGUCUCUACCGCCAUGCCCCUAGAUACCAAAUCUGCGGGAUUCUCUUUUCCGGAAACAUGAUUCCACCUAUUCCCAAAAGUAAGGGUUUGAAUCUCUGAUACGCGAUUCCCUACGAAGGUUUUCCAAGUAUUAGGAGGAGAUUGCAGCCAGUGUAGCACGAUUGUUGAGUCGCACCAAAAAUAAGAUUUGGAUCCUGUCAUUCCCAUUGCCUUGAUAACUUUGGAGUAUAAUUUCGCUGCUUCCAGAGAAGCACACAAUUCUAGUCUUGGUAAUGUUAAUCGUUUGAGGGGAGCAACCCGUGAUUUUGCUGCAAUUAGUCUAACUUUAACCUGUUUGGAUUGAUUUUCACUACGGAUGUAUAAACACGCCCCAUACGCCUUCUCUGAUGCAUCUGAAAAUACGUGAACCUGGGUCGCGAUAGCUUCCUCAAUGAAAGCAUAACGAUCUACUUGCAGUUCAUUCAAAAGAUGUAGUUGAUCAUAAAAUUCGUUCCAGCGAAAUUCGAAUUGCAUUGGAAGGGAGUCAUCCCAUUUUACGUGAAGCAAUGCUAGCUCUUGCAUGAUUAUUUUUGCUUUUACGAUGACAGGAGCCGCCAUUCCCAAAGGAUCGAAUAGACGAGAAAUGACGGAGAGAAUUUUGCGUUUAGUCCAAGGCGCAUGGUUACUAGACGAAACAAAGUUGAAUUUGAAUUUAUCUGUUGAUGGUUCCCAAGUUAUGCCUAGGGUCUUGACAUGCUCUCCGGAUUCAAUCUUGAAAUCAACGCUGAGGCGAGUUCCCAACUCCUCGGUAGGUAUUUGACUUAGUACUUGAGAAAAAUUAGAACACCAUUUACGAAGCUUAAAGCCUCCGUUCUUCAUAACUUGUUCCAUUUCCCUUCUCAUUGUGAUGGCCUUUUCUACACUAGAUUCGCCGCUAAUAAAAUCAUCGACGUAGAAAUCUUUCUUGAUUGCACCUGCCGCUGAUGGGAAGGAAUUUUCUUCGUCCUCUGCUAACUGUUGUAACGCACGGGUGGCGAGAAAAGAGGAAGGAGUGAGCCCAUAUGUUACUGUUUGUAACUCAUAAAUACCGAUCGGCCUAUUUGGAUCGGAUCUCCAAAAUAUUUUUUGAUAUUUUCUAUCAUCCGGAUGUACCAAAAUCUGCCGAUACAUUUUUUCGACAUCUGCCACUAGUCCAACUCGAUGUUUUCGAAAACGAAGAAGAAGUAUGAGAAGUUCAUCCUGUAUAACUGGGCCCUUCGCUAAUGCAUCGUUUAGUGAGUAUCCGGAAGACGUUCUCGCAGAUCCAUCGAAAACCACUCGAACUUUAGUGGUUGUGCUGGAUUCGUUUACAACUGGAUGAUGCGGUAAAAAGCAUCCCUCCCGUUGUCCUUCCUUAAUAUCCGUGAACGCUUUUAUUUCCAUAAUCUUUUUCAUGUGACCCAAUUCUAAAUAUUCCUCCAUGAAGCUAACGUAUUGUUCGUUCAACUUACGGUCACGAUGCAACCGUCUUUCCAGGUGUUGAAAACGACGAAAAGCUGAUUCUGCACUAUCGCCUAGCAUGAAUUUGAAAUUUAUCCUUUUUGGUAAUUUGACUAUAUAGCGCCCUUCGCGCGAACGAGUGUAAGUUCUAAUGAACUGCUCCUCGCUAUCAGCUUCUUCCUUUGUCCAUGCUGGUUGAUCAGAGAGCUCUUCAACUUUCCAAAAUUGCUCUAGCAUUUCCAUGGUUCUAUCUUCAGAAACCAAAUGACAAAGUACUUCUUUAUCUCUCCGUCUUGUUGUUCUGCCAGAAACUAUCCAUCCGAAAACCGUGUUGACUAGUAUCGGUAAGUUUGGUCCAAGACUCAUUCUAGUCGUUGCACCGGAUACUAAAAAUUCAUAAAACCAUUCAGCUCCAAUAAGCAGAUCGAUUUUAUCCGAUUUGUUGAACGUGGGAUCCGCCAGUUGCACCGUCGUUGGAAUAUUCCAGCCCUUUGUGUCAACAUUUGUUACCGGCAAGUUUCUUGUUACAGAUGGAAGCACUAGAAAACUCAUGCAUCGCGAGUACGUUGAAACACGGGAGUCGACGGUUAUCAUCACAGAAUGUUUGGCUCGUGCACCAGAUUGUCCUACCCCUGAGAUUGGUAUGUUUACGGGCUUACGCUUCAUUUGGAGAAUCUGACAUAAGCGUUCGCUGCAGAUGUUGAUUUGGGAUCCACUAUCCAAAAGAGCCCUAACGAGUACCUUUUUCCCAGUCAUAGAAGGUAUAGCCACUAUAACGGUUGAUAACAAUACCUGGGUGUGCCUCGAAGUUGAACCAACACUCGAUGAAUUUGCUACUACAGAAUUAUCAUGUUCGCUAGAUGAAAAUAAUCUGUAACUUUCGUCCGAACCGUAUGGAGCUUGUUCUACAGUGACGGCAUUGGCCACAUUUCCUGCUGCAGUGAAACCAGGAUGGAUCAUAGUGUGAUGCUUUUUUCCGCAAUUCCUGCAGGUAUAUGUAGAGGAACAAUUUCGAACCCAAUGAUCCGACCGGAAACAAUUGCUACAUAAGCGCUUUAUGUUGACCAUUUUCAACCUCUCCUCAACGGGCAUUUGAUGAAAGGUCGGACAGCGGACCAAUAAGUGUGUUUCUCCACAACAGUGGCACUUAGGAUGUGUCUGUUCGGUUGCGGAAUGCGAUGCAGUUCUAUGCGCUGUUGCUCUUUUAUCCGCUGUGACUGAAGCAGGUGAUUGCCUCAUGUCAACCAGGAUGGCUUCUAGCACUCGAACUCGUCGUUGUAAGAAAUCAAUAAGUUGACCGUAACUGGGGUUGUGAAAUUCAACUGCGAAAUCUUCCCAAGCCUUGAGCGAAGCAUCAUCAAGUUUAGAGCAAAGCACAUGAACUAGGAGUGCUCCCCAACGAUCAGUCUCUUCUCCUAAUUGCUGUAGAAUUUUUGUUCGUUGUUCAAAUUCAUCUACAAUACUCAAGAUGGCUGUUGAUGAAUCUUUUUUUAUUUUAGGAAAGUCCAACAGAGCCUGCAUAUGCCUUUUUUUAAUAAAUAAUCAUUGGAGUAGCGUUUCCUCACUGUUUCCCAAGCAAUUUCAUAACUGUUCGCAGUCAACGUUAUAGUCUCAAUCAAUUUAAGUGCUUCUCCUUUAAGAGCUGAUCGCAAAUAAUGAAAUUUUUGAAUUGCAGUCAAUCCUUCCGCCUCGUGAAUCAGUGCAACGAAGGUGUCUCUAAAUGUUAACCAAUCAUUAUAAUCGCCACUGAACUCCGGAAGAACAAUUUGUGGAAGUCUAAUUCCAGCAUUUAGCCCAAACGUUGCUUUCGUCAUCAACGUGUCGGUUUCACUCGCGGAUGAGGAAGCCGCUUCUAAAAGUCCUUGUAGCCCAGCACUUGUUUCGAAGAACAAUUUUUCGAACGCUAUCCUAGCACUGUCAUUUUCAUCCUCCUUUUCAGACGUCUCAUCCAGAGACUCUAUGAUAUCCUGUAGCUCCUCAUAUUCCUCCCAUUUUUUGUUGAGCUUAUUCAAUCUAAGCUUGACCUCAGUUAACGAACCAUCUUUGUACUCCGAUAAAUACUUAGCGUGACGGGUGACGGAUGCAAACAACUGAUCUCGUUUGCGCAACUUUUCCUUCAAUUUUUUCUCCGCCAUUUUGAUGAGAAAUUUCCACAGAUAAUAAAAUGGAUUCUGAAAUUGAAAUACAAGCGAAGCACCCACGAGACAACUGAAUUUUACUGGACAGGUACUCACCUGGUACCUGUCACAGACAGGCCUUGUAGCAAUUUAUUACAAGAAUGAAUUCUCGCACCUCCACAAUCGCUCUGAAUAUCCGCGGCUGUAGUCGUCUAGCUUUAUCCAGUAGGUAGUUUUAACAGAAUCCAGUGAAAUCCAAAUAUUGUAGUAGAUUCUUAGAGAGAUAAAAGACCCAGGAGCACCUCACUACAGUUGUAUUGCUUAAUGGACAGGUACUCACCCGAGUUCCUGCUUGAACAGUCCUUGAAACUAGUAGCAAAUAUGCGAUGGCGUACCCACGCCAGUUGAAGAAUGAAUCCUUCGAACCUCAACUUUCGCGCAAGGCUCUGCAAGUCCUUAAAUAUAACUCCAAGCAUAAACAUAAGCACCAGCAAGCCAAUUGUUCAUCGAUCCUCAUCUUGCACUUUCCUGAUUCCGAAAUCCUGGUCACGGCACCAUUUUUAUGAGGGAGAUUGUGCAAGAACUGAAUAUUUCUUUCCCUUUUUUUGCAGAAUAAUUUAUGCUAACUUUAUUUUUGGUUUUAGCACAACCCGAAAAUGUUAUAAUUAAUUAUUUUAUUUAACUCUCUUCUUUAGUCUACUUAUAAUGGUUCUAUUUCCGUGAGACAUAUAGCUUCCUUUAUUAAUCACCACUGCCGCCUUCUCUAACCACUUGCAUACUAACUAGGGGGAACGCGCUAAAUCAGUGUUACCUAACUUACACUCCCGCUUUCGAGCUACCGUAGAUCGAAUCGGGUAAGAUGGAGGAGUUGAAUCGGUUGGGAUGAUUACUCUUGCCUUAUCAACCAAACAGCCCUUUAUAGCAAUCAGAGAUGUGUAGCUUGCAUGCAAGUUGAAGAAAAUUUGUAGAUUCCAUCAAA